CCAAACCAUAGGCUGAACCCGGAUUCAAGCCAAAAAACACUCUCUUGCUGUAGGCAUAAACGGUGCUUAUCCAAAAGGCAGAAAACUUGACUGCAUCAAACACAAAGCCGAGGAAAACCAGAUUCCGUGUCUUCGAUUACAGCAUCACUGUGCUUCAACACUUUUGCUCGUGUUCGUAGGGUUCUUCGUGUUCCAAUCAAGGUGCCGCGUUUGGAUUCGUCAUGGCUCAAGUGCGACGCCUUCGGUCUUCGAUACUCAUCUUGCUCGCAUCAGCAUCAUUGUUGUAGGUGUCAUCGUGAUUCACACUUCAGGACUCGACACCCAGGCUCGCGCAUCCAGCAGCUCGUCGUGUCAAUGUCGCGAUUUUAUGGACUGCGCCGCCAACAUCUCGCGUGAACAAUUCAACGAUUUCAGUCAAAGAAAAUAAAUAUAGUUUGAAACUAAACUUACCGGAUUGAAGCAACGCGGUGGUUUAAUUCCAAAUCUUCUUCGUUGACGCUUCGUGAUUCUGCUUAGACCGUUGCUUGAUCCGCCGUGCCCUUUUGGUUGGACUCGUCGCUUGAUGAUGAAGGACGUGGAUUCGCCGUUGCGAUUCGCAUGGUCCGUUGUACAAGGUGAAGCAUAACGUUCAGAUGAAUUUGAUUAAGGAGUUUGAUUCAGUUCAAUGCUUUCUGUUUUUCUUUCACUAUUUGCAGGAUGCGGAAGAUGGAAGAAACUACUUGCAUAAACCCAAAGAGAGAGCUUGCAGAAUGAAGAAAGUUGUUGCAGAAUCUUGGUGGAGAAUUGUUGCAGAAUCCUGGAGAAGAAUUGAUGCAGACUCAUGGAGAAGAACCCUUGCAAAGUGAGGCGAAUGAGGUUUUAUCGAUGUUUUCCCUUUUCUUUGGGAAUAAAUAAAGUUUGAUGGCGACUCUGUUGUAUGUUCGAACGUGCGAUGCGUUCAGUUUGUUUUGUUGCGUGGCAGAUGAAAAAAAGGAAAGGAAGAUGGUUAAUGCAGCCAAGUGGAAGCUUGUAGGAGCAGAAGGAUAAUUAAGGAAUUUCCAAAAUAAUAAAUUUUCUUAUAUGAUAGAUGAGAACUUCUAACGGUGCACAAAAGUUAUAUAUAGGAAAAAAUAAUGCAGAAGCGGGAAGAGUAUGAUUUAGGGGGAGAACGACGCGUUGGUCAGAUGAGGUAAAGAAUUUAAAAUAUUA